CUACGGGGGGCUGCAGUGGGGAAUAUUGCACAAUGGAGGAAACUCUGAUGCAGCAACGCCGCGUGGAGGAUGACACUUUUCGGAGCGUAAACUCCUUUUAUAUAGGAAGAAGAUGACGGUACUAUAUGAAUAAGCGCCGGCUAACUCCGUGCCAGCAGCCGCGGUAAUACGGAGGGCGCAAGCGUUACUCGGAAUCACUGGGCGUAAAGAGCGUGUAGGCGGAUUAAAAAGUCAGAAGUGAAGUCCUAUAGCUUAACUAUAGAACUGCUUCUGAAACUCUUAAUCUAGAAUAUGGGAGAGGUAGAUGGAAUUUCUGGUGUAGGGAUAAAAUCCGUAGAGAUCAGAAGGAAUACCGAUUGCGAAGGCGAUCUACUAGAACAUUAUUGACGCUGAGACGCGAAAGCGUGGGGAGCAAACGGGAUUAGAUACCCUCGUAGUC
rnacentral:rRNA from 1 species